UACGUAGGGUGCAAGCGUUAAUCGGAAUUACUGGGCGUAAAGCGUGCGCAGGCGGUUAUGUAAGACAGAUGUGAAAUGCCCGGGCUUAACCUGGGAACUGCAUUUGUGACUGCAUGGCUAGAGUUUGGCAGAGGGGGGUAGAAUUCCACGUGUAGCAGUGAAAUGCGUAGAUAUGUGGAGGAACACCGAUGGCGAAGGCAGCCCCCUGGGUCAAGACUGACGCUCAGGCACGAAAGCGUGGGGAGCAAACGAGGAU
rnacentral:rRNA from 1 species